GAUGGGCCCGCGGUGCAUUAGCUAGUUGGUGGGGUAACGGCUCACCAAGGCGACGAUGCAUAGCUGGUCUGAGAGGAUGAUCAGCCACACUGGGACUGAGACACGGCCCAGACUCCUACGGGAGGCAGCAGCCAGGAAUCUUGGGCAAUGGGCGCAAGCCUGACCCAGCAACACCGUGUGGGCGAUGAAGGCCUUCGGGUCGUAAAGCCCUGUUGAUAGGGACGAAGGGCGAAGGGUUAAUAGCCCCUAGCCUGACGGUACCUUUCGAGGAAGCCCCGGCUAACUACGUGCCAGCAGCCGCGGUAAUACGUAGGGGGCGAGCGUUGUCCGGAUUUAUUGGGCGUAAAGAGCGUGUAGGCGGUUCGGUAAGUCUGUCGUGAAAUCCUGAGGCUCAACCUCGGGCGUGCGAUGGAUACUGCCGGGCUAGAGGAUGGUAGAGGCGAGUGGAAUUCCCGGUGUAGCGGUGAAAUGCGCAGAUAUCGGGAGGAACACCAGUAGCGAAGGCGGCUCGCUGGGCCAUUCCUGACGCUGAGACGCGAAAGCUAGGGGAGCGAACAGGAUUAGAUACCCUGGUAGUCCUAGCCGUAAACGAUGGACACUAGGUGU
rnacentral:rRNA from 1 species